GAUCUUGGACUGAAUGGGGAGCUCAACCCGACACACCUGUCGAGACCUCUUCAUAAAUCAUAAUGCAAAUACUGUCAAUAUCGUGGCAGCGACAUGCAUGGGCCAGACUGCAUGCCUGGUCCAAUACACAGAUGGUACUGAUUGAGGCUGCAUAAAAAACGGCCGAAUAUUGUCAAUUUUAAUCUUUUUUUUGGGCUGCUGUACCGUNNNNNNNNNNNNNNNNNNNNNNNNNNNNNNNNNNNNNNNNNNNNNNNNNNNNNNNNNNNNNNNNNNNNNNNNNNNNNNNNNNNNNNNNNNNNNNNNNNNNNNNNNNNNNNNNNNNNNNNNNNNNNNNNNNNNNNNNNNNNNNNNNNNNNNNNNNNNNNNNNNNNNNNNNNNNNNNNNNNNNNNNNNNNNNNNNNNNNNNNNNNNNNNNNNNNNNNNNNNNNNNNNNNNNNNNNNNNNNNNNNNNNNNNNNNNNNNNNNNNNNNNNNNNNNNNNNNNNNNNNNNNNNNNNNNNNNNNNNNNNNNNNNNNNNNNNNNNNNNNNNNNNNNNNNNNNNNNNNNNNNNNNNNNNNNNNNNNNNNNNNNNNNNNNNNNNNNNNNNNNNNNNNNNNNNNNNNNNNNNNNNNNNNNNNNNNNNNNNNNNNNNNNNNNNNNNNNNNNNNNNNNNNNNNNNNNNNNNNNNNNNNNNNNNNNNNNNNNNNNNNNNNNNNNNNNNNNNNNNNNNNNNNNNNNNNNNNNNNNNNNNNNNNNNNNNNNNNNNNNNNNNNNNNNNNNNNNNNNNNNNNNNNNNNNNNNNNNNNNNNNNNNNNNNNNNNNNNNNNNNNNNNNNNNNNNNNNNNNNNNNNNNNNNNNNNNNNNNNNNNNNNNNNNNNNNNNNNNNNNNNNNNNNNNNNNNNNNNNNNNNNNNNNNNNNNNNNNNNNNNNNNNNNNNNNNNNNNNNNNNNNNNNNNNNNNNNNNNNNNNNNNNNNNNNNNNNNNNNNNNNNNNNNNNNNGGGGGGGGGGGGGGGGGUGGGGGGUUGUGUUUAAUAUCAGAAUCCACAAUCUGAACCUCGGGGUCAAAAUUGUUGAUGUUGAAUUGAGGAAUAUGUCUUUGACAAAGCUGUCACAGCAUUCAUGGUGGAACAGACAUAUGUACGAAAGCUCCAUGCCUGCAUCUACCGGGUGUUACAAUCGCCAUUGUUGAUUAAAAUAAGCAAUACAUGGCUUAAUGAUUUCUCAAGUCAAAACUGACCUCUUACUCGAUUGAUUUCUUACAUAGCCAUGCGGAUGGUUUAAUUAACGCCACGAUGGAGCUGCUAAUGCAAUCCUUAACCUUGCUCUGCGACGUAAAUAGCAUAUAUAAUUAAUACUUGAAAGUAUACUGUGAAAUUAAGCCCCUAAACAGAGUCUAAUCUUUGAUCGGAUUAAUAUUGGAGCAAUGAUAUUUACCUAUUAACUAUAUGUUUUUUAAACUUCCGUGAUUCCCGCUGGUAAAAAUCCAGCUCCCACAACUGAUGAGAUAAUGGGUGAUUAUAAGAGUAAUAAAUUACAUCUAAGACACGUAAUCACUUAAGCCCAAGCGAAAGAAGCACCUGGAAAAGAGCAUAUUUACAUGACGGAUGCAUAUAUAAUGUUUCUACUAGGGAUGGCAAUUUGCGGAUUUGGGCCGGGCUUUUUAAAGUCCAGGCCCAAGCCCGCAUAAUUCAAAUGAAGCCUAGGUCCUUCAAAAGUCCGUCCAACUCGGGCCGGGCCUAGGCGGGCCUGGGCCGGGCUCGGGCCGUACUUGGACUUUUAAAAUUAAUUAUAAAAUAUUUUUUUACAUUAAGAAAAAUAUUUAAAUUAAAGAUAAUAAUCUAAUAUAUAAAUAGAAUAAUGGUCAAAUACAUGAAAUAUUAGUAAUACAACCUAAUAAAAUAACAAAUACUAAUAUAAAAAAUUAAACUAAUUUAAUAUUUUGAAUUUUUUCUUUUUUAUUUAAAUUAAAUUUAUUUUUUAUUCAUAAAUUUAAAAAGCCCGGGUCAAGUCCGGGCUUUUUUGCUAAGCCCUUGUCCAGGCCCAACAUAUGUGGGCUUUGUAAUAUUUGAGCCCAUAUCCAGACCCACCAGUGCGGGCCGGGCUUGGCCGGGCCUGGGCCGGCCCGGACGUUUUUGCCAUCCCUAGUUUCUACAGGGAUUCGCAGUUGUGGGCCUUUUUAAAUAUCCAACGGCCCAUAUAGGUUACCGAGUAUAUGGUACAGUUUGUCUCGGAGACCCACUACGUGGCGACACUGUGCAGCCAACCCUAGACACCCUUUUUUCACUCGGUCACCGCCGAAUCCGCGGCAGCCAUUCAGAGUAUCUCCGGUGAGCUAUUUGUUUUAUUUUAAUUUUUAUUUUGAAGCUUAUAUCGUGCUCUGUUGCUGUUGUUUCGUACUAAAUGUUUCAGAAUGCUUGGUUAUGUCUAGAGUAAAUGCUGGAUCUUUUUACAAGGGGCUUUUGCUUGUAUUAAAGUUUUUUUUUUUUUUUUAAUGUGUAUGUUAUAGGAGUAGGGGCUAAUUUGUAAGGGAAUCGAAUGGGUACGAAACAGGCAAUGACAAAAUUUAAAGAGGUGAGAGCACUGAGACAAUUCACUUUGGGUAAAGGGAAGUCCGCUGGUAGGAACUCCUCGGGGCGUAUUACGAUUUUUCACCGGGGGGGUGGUUCGAAGCGAUUGCAGCGAAGAAUUGAUCUGAAACGUACCACUUCCUCUAUUGGUAUUGUUGAAAGGGUUGAAUAUGACCCUAAUCGUUCCUCUUGGAUCGCUCCUGUACGAUGGAUCGAAGGGGUUCAGAUGCAGCAGAAGAAGUGCAACACCAUAGAAGAGUUUGAUCCGCCGCCGCUACGUAAGUUCUUCGAACCUACCACCGCCGCCAUCAGCGGCAAAUUUUCGUUCUCUUUCCUCUCCCAGAAUGUGGAUCAAAGAAAGGUAGCUUCCUUCUCACCUGGACUGAUGGCGGCUGAUGUAAAUGCCAUGGUUAGCAUUCCUAGUUCGAAGAGCCCCUUUACGACUACUAGUGAUAGCAAGGGUGCAGGAGGAAAAAGUAAAAUAACUUGCGCAAAGGAUGUCUUCUUUUCUGCAUUCUCAUCUCCAAUGGCCAGUGGAGAGACUGCCUCCCUUUCCUACCCUAGGAUGGCAGUAGCUGGAGCGAAGCCCACUUUCUUCGCCCCUCGAAUGGUAGAGAAAGUCGGAGGAAGUGAUAGCUCACCUGACCAAAGAGGGAAAAACACAUUAUCCCUUUGUGAGAUCCAAAAGUGGAGAGCAGAUAGCAGUUUCUGGGCACAUCGGAUCAAACCUAAGGCAGCACUUUCUUGGCAGGGUUUUAGGCGGCAAGAUACUUUAGGGAUUGUUGGAGCUGCUGAGCAUAACAAAUCAAAGCCAAAGACAGAUCGCAGCUUGCCUGCCAAGCCCAAGGAUGGAGCAUGCAGAGUACCUGUCACUUAUAUAAUAGCCAGUCAUCAAUUGGAAGCAGGCAAAAUGGUGGUGAAUUAUGAUGGGUCCAAACCUUCAACCGGUAACUUAUUGCCAUCUUGACAGAAUGCCUAUCUACACUAAGACUUUAUUCAGACAGCAAAGAACGGCCGAGUGGAUGGGGCAUUCAGCUGGCCUGACUGCUUUUAGUUAUAGGUAUGAGACACUUGGUCUAAAUUCUAUAAUUGGAAACUGCAUACCAUUAGACCCUCACAUUUGCGUAACUCCUUUCCCCUUUUUCAAUGAAGAGGACCCCUUCCCUCUGAUAAGACGGAAAGAAAAGGAAUACUUAUUCUUCUAUCAGUAUCCCUUCUAUUCUUUCUUUCAAAUUUCUUAAUGUACUUAGUUUUUCUUCAAUUCCAUCAAUAAUUAGUUGUUUUCAAACUAAUUUACUUAAAUGGUUACAAGCAAGUAUCUGCCAAUCAUUUUGCAGCAAGUUAGAAAAGCCUACAUUUGACGUGUUUUAUUUUGCAAACUAAACUCGUUGUUAAUUUAGUUGACUAUGUAGCUAUCCUGUUUGAAAACUACGAAAGUUGCGAUGUCUAUUAAAGCACUUUUUCAGGCUUAUUAUUGUCAAAAAGGUUUUUGUUAUGACUCAUUAGAUAAAACUCAACUAUAGGGAGAGAAUUAAAAAAUCUUGACUACAAUACAAUCUUAAUAAAAAGAAAAACAACCAAAUUUUGCAUUUCAAGAUUGGAAGCAGAGGAUGAUUCGAGUACAAAUCUAGUAUUUUUGGUUUUGCAUCCGGUGCCUCUGUUAGAUUGACUAUAACUGAGAUUAGUAGUAGAUUCUUAGACGACAGUGAUCUGUGAGUGCUUUUGGUAUACUAUGUUGUAUUAUUUAAUGAAUUAUAAUAAUUGUGUACAGCUUUUGGUGUUAUUGUACUGUAUUAAUUUUAUAUUAAUAUUACUUAAAUUUAUUACUGUUUUAUUAUUAAUUAUUAAAUAAUUAUUUCUAUAUUAAUUACUAAUAUAUAAAUAUAAUAUUAUAUAGUUUAUUAACUAAAAGAAUAUUAUAAUAUCAUUUAUUUUAUAUUUUAUUUAUUAUAAUAAAACAUAUUUAAUGCCUCAAUUAAUGGACGACAAUGCCUCUAUGUUCCAAACACACCCUGUGAUCCUAAGAACUGCAUAAAUUUUGUGAAAUGUAAGCUCUCUUUACAACUCUUUUGCAACAUGCAAGUAAUCUCAAUGUUGCUUUGUUGAUCACCAUGCCUAGCUAGAAUUGUAUGGCUCUUACUAUUGCACUCAUGGUAUUUGCUGUGAAAUGAUUGUGUAAAACCUGCAUUGAUUCCUGAAAAUUGAUCUUAUGAAUUAGCGUUACUUUUGUAACCUUUUAAAUUGUAGGUUUCCUUUUAAAUUGUAAGUUUCGUGCUGAUCGCUAGAAGCUUACUUAUCAAAUUUUGUGUAUAAAUCAGGUACAUUUAAGGCUUUACCAUAUGAAAAAUUUAUGACAAUCUUAUAAAUGAUUAGAAAUUUCUAGGAAGCUGUACAGAAGAUUUCAAAUUAAUAAUUAAGAUUUUAUUUCCAUUUGUAUAGGAUUAUUUGAUGUUACUUUACGUUCAGCGCGCGGUAAUGUAUUGUAUUGUACUGCAUUAGUUAUGUUGUAUUAGGUUGCAUUGUAUUAUAAUGUAUUAAACUAUACUGCAAUAUUACGUUUGGUGUAUAGUGGAUUGUAUUAUAUAAAAUAAUAUUUUUAUUUUAAUAUUUUAUAUUAAAUAAAUGCUUUAAGAUUAUUUUGAGUUUUUAAUUUAAUUAAUUAAUUAUUUUAAUUAGAGAAAUUAAAAAAUAAAGACCGAAUGUAAACAAUGCCCUAUUACACAAACUCAACCACUCCCUUGAAUUUAUUUAAUCCGGAACUGUUCACAUUAUAAUGUAUUAUAAUACGUCAUAAUGUGAAUAGAAAAAUUCAUCAAGUAUGAGAUUAUGUUGCAUUAACAAAUGCAAUCUUUGUCUAAGGUAGUAUGUGAAACACACCCUUAGAUUAUUAAAUUGUGAAGGGAAAUUGAGAAGGUGUUGGGAAAAUGCAAAAAGACUCUCUGGACACAGAGAGAAAUGUGAAGGUGUUGUGAAAAUUCAGAACGAUUCUCAAGAUACCUCAAUAAGAGAAAGGAGAACUGUAAAGGUGUUGGGAAAAUUCAGAAAGACUCUCAUGACACGUCAAUAAGAGAGCACGCAACUGACGGUAUUUAAAUUUCAAGAAAUUUUCAUGUCAACGUUUCUUUCUUUGGGGAGUGAAUUUGCUAAUAUCUUGUCAUUUUGAAGAGUGUGUUAAGUUUGAAGGAUUUUAUUAAUAGCCAAACUACCCAAUUUCUUUUGAAACUCAAUUUUUCGGUAAAGAAUAUGCUUUUGUUCAUUAUAUAAUUCGAACUUAAUUCACCCGUAAAUUCAUUUAGUUUCCUCUAAUAUUUUCGAUGUUGUUUGCAUAGGUGUUUCAUUAAUUUUGGAAGUCUGAAGGCAUAAUCAAGAGUUAUAAAUAAAAGAAAAAGAAUGGUAAAAAAGAGACUACAUACAAACUUAAUUUAUUGCUUCAUUCAUGCAUAUAAUUGUUGGUAGGUGCUGCAAUGUGAGUGAGAAAAAACAAAAAAAGAAGUCACAAAAAAUUCAUUUUAGAAAAGAUAAAAACUGUAAUACAAAUAAUUAAAUUAACACAACACUUACAUGGAAAAAGAAAAGUACAAUAUUGUUAUUAAUAUUAAAAUAAAUUUACCAAGAUAAAAAUAAUAAUAUAGUUUAGUCAUUUUAACUUUUAUUUUAUGCCUUUAUACCUUCAAUAAUCGGACUACAUUUUUUUACUGGAUUUGAUAUAUAAUUGAAAUAGUAAAAAGAAUAAUAAAUAAUGUUCUUGUCCACCUUUUCUUUUAUUACUACGAAUCUCUUGUUAAUUAUUAACAAAGAAAUUGUGGUUAUUUUGACAUGUUAAUGAUCAGUUUGGUGUUAAGGUGCAAGUUAUAACUGCUUACAAUUCUUGUGAAUGUUUAGUAAAUCACUAAAAGUAAAAGUUGAUGAUACUUGUAAACAUAAUUAUCAGAAUUUGAUAAAUUUUUAUUAAAAUACUCAAAUCAAAAUAAAUUGAAUAAAAUUAUAAAAAAUCAACUGGGCUUUUUAAGCCGAGCUUUGCCUGUUAGGCUUAAUUACCAGGCAGCUGGGCUUGCCAAAUAGACCCCCAGUCUAUUUGGCAAAUUCAUGUCAACACUCAUCAACACCAAUCGCCCAUCACCAUGCGAAAUCAAUUAUAAUUUUAAGAUUUAUAAAAGAUUUACAUUCCAUAAUCCCAUUUUAAUUGUUGACUUUAAAUUUAACCCAUUAGAUCAAAUUAGAUGGUUAACAUAAAUAUACGAGGAUAUUCUUCAUAAUCUUUUUAUUCUUUUUUAAUUUUUUAAAAGAUGGACAAAAUCCAAAUCAAUUUUGCAACCUGCUUAAAUUUAGGGAUAUUAUAUUUGUAGCUAAGCAUCCCAAAAGAUCCCAAAGAUAUGGUGUAAAGAAAAUUGCGAUUACUAACUAUUGUAUAUUAUGAACUUUAUGAUGAUUUUAAUAAUAUCAAAUGCAGACUCUAAACAAUUAUUUUAGCCUAAUUAAUGAUUCCAUACCUCUUCUUUUCACACCAAAGAUUUUAUCAAUUGAAUUAAUUAACACCCACAACAAUCAUAUAAGUAAAAACAACAUCAUCUCAUGAAAUUGCAGUAAUUGAAAUGAUAAAAGCCUCAAAUUGUAACACAUAUUAACAUAAUCAUGUGUCACCAGAAAAUAAGAUAAACCCAGAAAUAACCAUCAACAUUGCAAAUUGCCAUAGAUAUAAAAAUAUGUGCAGGUAAAGAAAUUUUGCUCUGUACAGGCACAGUAGAGCUACAACUCACCACCUAAACUACUUGAUUAGUUGAUUUAGCCAGUGAAGACAAAAAAGAUCCUCUUGCAAUUGAAGAUUUCUUUGAGAUAGUAGCCUUAGCCUUUGGACUGUACGACUUGCUGUGACCAAUGUCCAAUCCACCUCCAUAGCUCUUGCAUGACUUCAUUUUCAUUCUAUAAUAAUGACUCCCUUUAAUAUUCAUUUUUGCAAGAUCUUCUAUGUUCUUCACACUUGCUAAUGAUGUAAAUGACUGCGACUUGCCUUGAUAAAACUUUGACAAACCUCUCCUGCAACCCCAAAAUAUAAUGACACUAAUUAUUGAUCAGUACUUAAGACCAAAAUUUUGAAAUUAAACAACAGAUUAUCCUCCCAAUGAGUUAAUUGAUGCUUACUUGAUGGGAAGCUGAGCCAUGAGCUCUGAGAAUUCAUAGAGAGGUCCGCCGUUUGAGGAGGACGAUGAAGGAGAACAUGAACUUGAUGUUGAAGAGGAUGCAUCCUCCACCAAUUCUGAUGAAGACAUUGAAGAAGACACAGAGUUCGUUGAAUCUUCUUCUAAUGAAGAAUCAAUGGAAAAUGUUGAAUCUUCAUGACUAUCAAUUUUCUUCGAAUUCAGCUGUUGAAAUAUUUGCUUGCUGCUACAACUCUCCAUGAUGAUCAUAUAUAUAUAUAUCCAACUUAUGGUUUCAAUCAAAUUAAUAACUUUCAGAGUCUGAAUAAGAAUGAAGAAGAUAUUUGGCUUGAAGAAAUUUUACAUAUAUAUAGCUUCUAGUUUGCUUGGCGGCCUGCACACAUUGGAUAACGUUGACAAAUAUAUAUACAUAUAUAGAUAAGUAAACAUAAUGUUUAUUUAUGGAAUAUUCUUUUUCUUGCACUACUGCUGUGUGCUGAGAAUUGUCAUUAUCAGCCAAGAGAUUGUAUGGUUUAAAUUUAUUGCAUUUCCCAUACUACUAGGAAAGAAGAUAAGGCCUAAAUUUGAAGGCAUCCAUAUCCGAGUCACCAAUCUUCUUUUUAUUUGGCUCAAACUGAUGUCACCAUCUUUAGCAACUUUUGCCCCAUAAAGCUAUGACAAUAUCUGCACUUUUCAAUGUCUCAGGAUUUAAUAUUCAGGGUGACUUAAGUUAAAGCUGUGUGCCGGGGGGAGGGUGCUUAUUUGGAUAACACUUCCACCAAUUUUUGUUUAUUUUGCAUCCACAAUUUACAAUAUUCAAGAAUUUCAAUUGUCCCCAUUCUUUAUUUUAUUGCAAAUCCGAACAAAUUCCAUUUGUCUCUGAUUUAAUUGUCCUCUGUGUACCACCGCUUAAAAUAAAUCAUUGUUGUGAUAAUAAUGCCUUGACUAUCCUAGUAUUCUUAUUUGAGCAUUAAUUAAUAUGACAGAUUAUUUAUUACUUUAGCUCUAACUCUGAAUUAUUCACGAAUUAUGAUGAGUUUCUCAACUUAUAUUUCAACUCUUGAUCGAGUAUUUAUUUUUCAUGAAUCAGAAAUCAUAACUUUACCUCUUAUUAAUAAAUAUUAAUAGCCUGAUUUUGGGACUUGGAUAAUUGUUGGACAUAGGAUUCCUAUCAUUACUCUUGUUAUAAUGUACCCUCUAUUCCAAAUUUAGUUUGCGCUAUUUCUUAAAGAAAAGAUAAUUAAUUUGUGUUAUCAACAAAAUCGUUUUGGGACCAAAGUUUGGUGAGAUUAAAGAAAAAGGAUAAGGCGAGUGACUUCGAUUUGGCAGCAGUCGUGAGUCAUGAUAGAGGGAUGCGGUGUAUCAUUAAUUAAAUAGGCGAUUGAAAUCGCCACCACAUGACCACAUGCUAUUGCAGGUAGGCCUUACCUAUUUAUUGGUUGACGGUUUAAAUGUUUGAUUCAUCAUAUAUCCCUACAUUACAUAAUGCCUCUCCUCUCUGCUGUGCCUGCCAUAUUUCUCCUUUAGGAAUCCUUUAAACUGUCCAUACUCCGUUUGAUUACAGCAGCCUUUCUAUUUUAAAAUAAAAUCCUAAGAAACUCACUACUCAUUUGAGUUAUCAAUUCAUUCUUCAGACAAUCUUUCCUUUUCAAGUAUCUCGAGGCAGAGAUGAAACACUAAAACUUCAAGCUGCAAGAAAAAUUUAUAUAAACCAUAUGAUGCUUUGGUGUUACAUGAAAAUUGAUGUAAUGUUUGAUGAAGACUGAUAGCCGAUACACAUGUAAAAUGAUAUUGCACUCAACAUAUAUCAUUCUAUUACAAGAUAUAACUACUACCUUGGGCAAUUGACAGGAGGAUCCAAGCUGCCAACCAAAAUGCCAAGAUCAAUGUCCUUGUCUUCAAACUUUUUGAUGAAAGGGUGACUCUGAAAGCAUAAAAAAUUAUAGCAAUUAAGACUUUUAAGACAUUUGUUAAGUGAAAAGAUCCUGACUUGUUCGAAAUAUAGUAAUGCAGCACACUUUGAUUACUUACCAGGAGGUCCAAAGAUGAUGACCUAUCUCGAGGAUCCUUCUGUAUGCUGCAAAAGGCAAAAGAAACAAGUGAUCAAAAUAAUUAUAAUUCUGAGUUCAGUAAAUAAAAGGCAACAAAUUGUUGGGAAUAAACCUAAUAGCACUGGAUCUCUCGAUAAACUUAUUGUUUCCCUCUCACUCGAUAUGCUUCAUUUGUAAAGAUUAUCGUUAUUGUUUAUUGUUUAACAAGUAAACUAUUUCUUAGUAGUAAUAUCUUUGUAUAAGAAACUACCUGUUUCCUAAACAGGAAUACUUUUAAAACAAGAAAACUACCAAACAGGAAUCCUCCUAAUCCCAUAAAAUAACUACAAAAAGAAAUAGCCAACAAAACACGCGAAAGUUAGGAUUAAUUGCCUAGAAACCUGUUAAAAUUAGAAUACAAAAAAUCCUUGUUGAAAAGGAAACAUAUCUGCUAACACAUAUGCAGAUGAUUAUAAUAAUUAUAACAUGGGAUAAAAGAAUCAACAAUGCUUUCAUAUUGUUGCAGUGAUGUUAAUUGAUGAAUAACCACCUAUCUUCUCAUCCAAAAGAACAGAGAAAAUCAUGUGAUCUAUCAACAAAAACUUACUCACAGAAUUUUCUUCAUAUAGGCUCUGGUGAAAAGAAAAAGUUUUUAUAAUAAUGGACUAGUAGCUGGAACCAUCAGUUUAGACAAUAACAUAAGAAAAUUAGAACACACAAACUAUAAAGGAAAAGGUAAUGCCUUAAGACAAUGUUAAAAAUGCAAACUGAAGGUCUAGGAAAUACCAGGCUGAUACAAAUGAACAGAAUUCUGGGGAGAACUGAUCUGGUGGAGCAGUUGGUGGUGGGCUUUCCACAAUGGCCUCCAAAAGCUCAUAAAAGCUUGGCCAGCUUUGCUGGUCUUCAGAUUGCAUAUAAGGGAAACGCCCAAUAGCACAUUCAAGUACUACCAAGCCCAGACUCCAUAUAUCACUGCUAUAGUCGUAAGUGCUCCCACUAAUUCUUUCAGGCUGGAAAAGGAAAAUAAAAAUUUAUAGUUAAUCUUUUGCAGUAAACCAUACCGUCUCUGUGUGCUUUGAAUGUCCAAAUAUUUUUAAAAGCUCUCUAACAAAAGGCAACAAAAGAAUAAGGGUAACUGAGUCCAAAGAGAUAAGUUAUCACAUUUUUGUAAAAUGUUACACUUACCGACAUAUAGUUGUAGGUUCCAACAAAUGUAUCCCUUUGACCCAUAGAGCUACCUAGCAUGGCACUCACACCAAAAUCUGUAAUUUUUACUUCCCCUUUAUGGUUUACCAGCAGAUUGGAUGGCUUUAUGUCCCUGUGUAUUACAUGUCUCUCAUUAUGCAAGUACACGAGACCUUGUAAAACCUGGAAGGUUACAAAAGAAUUUAUUUGUACCUCCUUUAGAGAGAGAAAAAAUACUCUAAAAUGUUGCAAUGACUUUUGCGUUGUGGCAAAACAUGUUAAGUCAAGAAGAAGGAAGCUUAGAGACCUGCUUACAAACAACUGCAAGAUACGGUUCAAGAAUUGUUUUAACUUGUCUGAUGAUAUCUGCCAGAGAACCACGAUCCAUGUAUUCCAACACAAGAGAAAUGACUCCAUUGUGAUAGAAAGAGUGGUAGCAAACAACUACAUGGGAACACUGUGAUGCUUGAUUUAUUUUCAGCUCCUGCACAAUUUGUUUACGGAUUUCCUCUUGUAUGUUCAUCUGGAUGAUCUGUAAUACACAACUGAAUGAGCUUCUGAACUAUAAAGAAAUCAGACUGCCACAGUUAGAGUUGCAAUUCCUUAAUCAUUUGACAUCUUUUUACUUUAGUAGUCUCUGUAAUAGUAUUACAAAACACAAAAAUAGAAGCAACGGUAACAUUUAUUUUGAGGAGAAAUGUUGUGCUAGGGUGAAAGUUUGUUUCCCAAAUUCAUCCAUUAUAUGAAGACAAUUAGGAAAAACAGAAUGCUGUAACAGAUAAUGGUUCUGAAAUUAGAUACACAUUUGGCAUAUUUGCAUCAUAAGGAAAAACUAGCAUAAGCCAAACUGUUGUAUGCUAAUAAAUACUAUCAUAAGAAGAGGAAUUGUUUUUGCUACUACAUGUACAUAAGAAAUAAAAACCUGGGGGGGGGGGGNNNNNNNNNNNNNNNNNNNNNNNNNNNNNNNNNNNNNNNNNNNNNNNNNNNNNNNNNNNNNNNNNNNNNNNNNNNNNNNNNNNNNNNNNNNNNNNNNNNNNNNNNNNNNNNNNNNNNNNNNNNNNNNNNNNNNNNNNNNNNNNNNNNNNNNNNNNNNNNNNNNNNNNNNNNNNNNNNNNNNNNNNNNNNNNNNNNNNNNNNNNNNNNNNNNNNNNNNNNNNNNNNNNNNNNNNNNNNNNNNNNNNNNNNNNNNNNNNNNNNNNNNNNNNNNNNNNNNNNNNNNNNNNNNNNNNNNNNNNNNNNNNNNNNNNNNNNNNNNNNNNNNNNNNNNNNNNNNNNNNNNNNNNNNNNNNNNNNNNNNNNNNNNNNNNNNNNNNGGGGGGGGGGGGGGGAAUUAGUUAUACUCUCCAAGUCUCACCAGUGUCUCCACUAAUUACUCCAUUCUGGAAAAUUGAUUACAAAAUAAUACUACCACUGAAGACCGUAAAUGGCAAUUAAACAUCUUCAUGUUCAUGUGUUUAGUUACUGUGCAGCUAUGCGUACAGGAUCCACUUUUUGCAUACCCAAAUACUCAUGUGGAUAUGAAGCUUAAUAUUAAUUUAUUCUUCCAUUAAUGAAAUAAUUAUCAAUCCAAAAAUUAAAAAAAUGAAAAUCUUCUGUUCUAUCAGAAAAAAUUCGAAGAACAGAAGUUAAAAUAAUAAAAGGAAGAGGCUAAUAGAAAAUUCUAUGUUAUAAUUACCUUCAAUGCAAAUAAUCUUCCAACCCAUUUGUGGCGAACGAGUUGUACUACUCCACCGCUUCCCUUUCCUAUUACUUUGAUUGUCUCAAGGUCUUCCAAUGAGAAUUCAAAAUCAAACUCCUUAUAAUCAGAAGGCUGUUCAAAUUACAAGAAAAACAAAAUUAUGAGCUUACAGGCACAAAUUUGAGGGAAUCGUCCUAGAAAUGAGGAUAAACCUCUGAUAUGCAAUGCGAAGAAAUGCACAUUGCAACAAAGUAAAGUGAGCAGCGCUUAAGCAUAGGAUAUGAAAUUUCAAAUGACAAGAGUUUAAGACAUUAAGAUCACAGGCAAAAGGAUGAGAAGAUCAAUUCAUCAGAGGCUUGCAGUAUGCAUACAAAUGGUCUAGUACUUUGGUAGGUAAGUUAAGGAAACCAAUGUAGCAGUUUGAAAAUAUUCUUAAGCUUCCAAUAGUCUUUAAUUAGGCAUUCUGAAGACUGAAGACAUACAUCUGACCAGCGAAAGAAGCAAGAUAAACCCCAGAAUGAACAUUUGGAGAAUCAAAAUUCAAAUUGCCGACAGAGGGAAUUUUUUUAGAAAAAUCCUAACUUCUAGUACAAUCGUUAUCAAAGUCUUUUUGUGCCAGUAACCAUCACAGAAGAAGCAAACAUCAGUAAAUACAUCAAAAUCAUAUACAAAAGCAGAGAUAUCUCAAAAUCCAGCACCUACAUUGAUUUCUUACCUCUACAUAACUGACUCUAAAUCUAUCGAUAUUAUCACAUAAUAAAGUGCUAAUACAUGCCAAAUCCAGCAAAUGGUAAAAGAUUUUUGUAAUCCAAGCAAAUUAGAAGUUGAAAACAAACCAAACUAUAAAUGAAGUAAGAUAGUGAAAAUCUUACACGGGAUUCAUUUUCUUCAGAAAUUAGCCGCAAACCCUUCUGAUUCAAAAGCAAAUCGCCAUCAUGAAACGUCCCACUCGCAGUCCUGACAAAACUCAUCCAUUAUGACUAACCCAUUAUAUAUAUAAUUCAUCAAGAUUCAACUUUUUUCCCCUUCUUUACUGAUAUCAAUGCAAUUAAAUUACCCAAUAAAAUAAAAAAUGAAAAUGUUAAAAGUUUCCCUUUCUUUAGUUUUUAAUAACCUCAAACAAGCUAUGAGCAACAAUUAAAUAAAGAUACUUACAAGAAGGAAGUGAUAGGGGUUUCUUGAACUGGAACAGAGAGCUUGAGUUGUUUCAAUGGAGUCUUGGUCCUCAUUUCUUCCAAAAAAUUUACAGUAACUUCUUUUCUUUGCCUUCUUUCUAGGGUAUAAAUGGUGGCCCACUGAGAGUUCAGUGUUCUGAUUAUUCUGCUUUUCCUAACGGAACAUAAAUUCAAAUCAAUGGCCGCCCAAAAAUACAUCACUCAUGACAUUAUGAAUUAAGUAUUUAAGCGAAGAGAGGUAAUCAAGUGUGUCUGCACUUAUCAUGUUAUGGUGGGAUACUAUUACUUGCUGUCAGUAAGACUUUGACUACUUUUAUGGGUCCCGCUUUGGUUAAGAUUCUGGUGGUGGUGAUGCCACUGAGUCAGUUGAUGUGUUUCACCCAAUUAAAUUGUGCCCUUGAGCUUUUGAAUUUUUGGUUUGUUAAAAUAUUAUUUAUUAAUAACUUUAUAAAAUAAAUGAAUGAGUUUACUACAGUACCUUAAUUAUCAGAUGGCAUCAAGAAUAUAGAGCUGGCUUAUCUCAAAACACAAAUAUUAGAUUACCGAAAAUAAGAUCAAUCAUUGCAUUGGACCACCGGACGAUACUUUACUAGAUGCAGUAUUGAAUAGCUUUUUCAGAAUCAUGGAAACAUUCUUGUUUAUUAUACAAUCUUCAACGUAACCCCAACGUCUCAUUAAUCUAUAGUCAAAAUUGCUAAUGUCCUAUCCUUGUCCAUGUUAAUUGAUCCAUUUUUGCAUGGAAGACGAAUUCUUCCAUUUCUAACAUAUUCUCAAGUUAAGAAACAUUAACUAUCUCAAGGGUGAAAAAAUUUUGUGGGUUAUUGAGAUGGUGGGUCCGACCGAUUAGGAUAUGCUAUUUCGCAGAUUUGAUAUGGUAAAUCCCGACAGAAAAAAUUUUUAUUUUAAAUUUUAUGAGCUCGUAACAUUUAAAUUUAUGUUCCACCAUAAAACCUAUCAAACUCACCAAAUAACAGGUUUUAAUUGGUUCGGCGCACCACAAAAGACUCUCUUAUCCCAAGAAAGAAAAUCAAGUUAAAGAUUUUUCUUUAAUUAAUAAGAAUUUGUAUAUAGUGCUAUGUUUUUUUUUUGUAUAUACAUAUUUUUUUUUAUAAAGGGUGCAUUUACAUUAUUGUAUAGUUAAAAUUUAUUAAACUAUAUGUUUUUAUUUAAUAAAUACAAAUCACAUCUUUCUAAAAUAAUAGCAUAAGAAUCAAAAUGAGCAUUAAAUCCAAAGGCAGGCCAUAGGCAACCGAUCGAAAGAGAUAAGCCAAAAAGAAACUCAGAAUGUCAUUAAAGAAAAAAAAAAAGAAACUGAUAAUAAACGCAAAACUAAGGCCUGUAAUAGGUGACAAUAAUAAUCAAGGCUUUUCCCAAAUGCUUGCUUUUUUAAAAUUUGCCUCUGUUAUGUCUCUACUUGUGCCUUCCACUAUACUAUAAUUUUAACGUUGCUUAGAAAAGGCAAAGACCUCAAAAUUAUUCGUUUUAGUCAAUAUAUCCUAUAAAUAUUAGAUCAUCCAAUUGAAGUUUUGCACAUCAAUCGGCAAACAUUGAGACGUAAGAGUGUUUACAAUUAAUGAGAAUUGAAGGAUUUAAAAUGAAAGAUGAAGAAGAUUAUUUCCUGUCUUGUAAUUUUUCCUUUCUAAAAAAUCUGUAAACAUAUUCCAUUGUAAAGCUCUCGGAUUCAAGCAAUUUAUAUAAGCAUCUCUCAUUUAAUCUAUUUAAAGUUCAAAUGCAUGUUUAGAUUUCCGCAAUUUAAUUAAAGUUUUUAAUUUUAUAAAAUCUGCUACAUUCCUCUAAGGCAAAGAGACCGGAUCUCUGUCCUUAGUUGUAUCUUCUCUUCUCUCUCCAUCCAGUCAGAAUACUAUUUCUGGGAUCCAGAUCUAGUAUUAUCUAUGAGCCUUUAGACUUUGUUGCUAGGCUUGUUUAAAAGAAUUUGUUUGAAACCAUCCAUAACUUUGCCUUCUAGUAUUUCGGCUGGAAAACAGAACGUGCGAGAUAUUGAUCUGUUCUAAGUCAGAUCUGGUUUCAAAGGCAGAUUAAGUUCUGCAUCAAUCUGGUCACAACGCCACGUACUAAAGUAUAUAACCAAAUCAAUUCUUCAUUAAAAUUCAAUUUAAAAUUUGCUGAAAACACAUCUAUCCUUCGAUCCUAUUUCCUUCUGGUAUCAGAGCCAAGGGGGAGGAUAGUGUAAUAUAGGUUAGAGAUUUGUGUUUAAAGACUUGUGUUUUAGUUGAAUUUUGUGUGUGUGGUGAGUGUUACUUCUGGUGCCUUGGUAGUUUUUGGUCGUAAGUCCCGAUUUGGUUGUAGGGCAGUAAAACCAAUUCUUAACCUUGGAUUGUAGCAAUACCUACAUGACUAAAACUAGAAUAUAGGUUUUUACCAUGGACUCUCUGCUCUGUAGAGCAUCAUCCUUUUCUAGCUCUUCUUCCGGGAAGACUAGUGAUUCAAAGAAUGUCGUAAAUUCAGAAGAAUUUGUAAUUAAAGACUUUAAUAAAGCAAUUGGUAAUUGGGAAUUACCAAAGAUAUCUAAAGAAAUGAUUUACAAAACAAAAAAGCUCGAUUUUUUAAAGAAUGACUAUGUUAUAAAAACUGAAGAACGAGACAUAACCCUUUCAAAACCUUUUGAAACAAUUCAUUUGUUUUCAGAACAGUCUUUAAAGAAAUUAAAAGAUAAAAAUUUUAAUUAUAUUCAUAUCGGUUUAAUAUAAGUUGGUAUAAAACCUUUAACAAAAGAAGGUCUCGAUACCUCUAUUCUUGUUGUCCUAAGAGAUGGACGAUUUAUAUCUUUUGAUGAUUCUUUACUAAGCAGUAUAGAAUCAAGUCUUUAUAAAGGUCCCAUUUCAUUCAGUUGUUAUCCAAACAUAACAAUUUCUUUAAAAGACAAAAAUAUUUUAAAAAGCAUGAUUUUACAAAUCAAGACCCAUAAUUAUCAAAUGAUUGAGGGAUCUGUCCCAGUUGCCUUAAUCUUUAAAAUUUCAUACAAAGCCAUGAUUUCUGCGUUUAGUACGCAACACAAAUUUCAGUCAAAAAGAGAUGAGACUCUUCUCUUGUAGACUGAUCUGUCUAAAGCCAACACUGUUAUUCCAAAACCUAUCCAAUGGAAAGAUGUCAAUCUUCCAGACGAAUGGAUUCUUGAAGGAGCUACCGCUCCAGUAAUUCCAAAACAACUUGAGCCUAAUACAGAGUUGCAAAAUGUAACUCAAUAUUCUGAUGGUAAAGUCAAACUUUCUUUUAGGAGAUCUACAUCUACUAGAUUCUCCGACAAAGACUCAUGCUCAAGUAUUCCUUCACUAGAAAGGAAAUUUUCAAAAAUUCCUUCUGUUAUAAAUCUUCAUUUCCAACCAAUAAAGAGUUAACCUAGGUUUUCCACUUCGGAUAUACCCAGUUCUUCUAUUCACUCUGUUGACUAUACCACUAGUGUUCUACACCCAAUCUACACUAGUAGUCAACACGGACAAAGACAGGAAGAGAAGGAACCUUUUCCUCCUACUUCCCCUACAUUUUCUGCUGUAACAGAAAAUGUAAUUAGUGUCAUUGAAAAAGAAUUUGAAUUAGAUAAAACUCUUCUUCAUAAUGAUUUUUAUUCUGACACUAAUAAAGAAAAAAGACUUUGGUUUUUUAAGAAAUUCCUAAACCAAAGAAAAGAAAUCCAACAAAUCUAUUAUGAGUUUGUAAAUAUGCAUAAAGUUCAUAUAUUAUUUUUUGAUUGGUUUCAGAUGUAUGCUUCAGAUAACAAGAUUAGUUAUCCUUUUAAAGAAUCAAAUCCCAUUACUAUUAGGAAGAAAAACACUGAAUGGAUUCUUUCUGGUAGUGGUAGAACUAUAGAAUCUGAACAUCCACCUCUUAGGAGUUUGACCAUUGAACAUGGUGAACUUCCUGUUGAGAUUAAAACCUCACCUUAUAAAAUCCAUAAAGAUCCAGAGUCGGAUUUAGAUAGUAUUAUCCAACAGAAUAAUUUCUGUAAUGCUAAUCUAAAUACGAUAGGAAAACAGUUGACUAGGAUAGAAAAUCAAUUCCAAAAGUCAACCAUAGCUGUUUCUCCUACCACUUCAAAAUUGGAUUCUGACAAAAAGCUUAAAGAGCCUAUUUUCAAACAUUUUCAGGUUUCGAAAGAUAGUUAAAAGCUUGUUCAAGGGUCAAAAUCAGAUUUUGCUAAAGCCAUUAGAGACCAAUUGGAUAGAAUAGAAGCUUCUUCCUCAUCCAGUAAGGUCCAGAUAACCCCAGACAGUGCUCAAUCUAGUAAGAUUGGUGUACUAGAAUAUAACAAUGUUUCUAUAGCCUCUUCAGACAUAGAAGCAUUUAAAGAAGAACCAUCUGUUCCUAAAGCCAACAAAAUCCAUUGGGAAUUAGCCCUACCUACUGUCAAAUCUCCACCUGACCUAGCCAUAGACAACAUGCCAAGUGCAUUAAACCAAUCUCGUUUUAAUGCAUCCUCUGUCUAUGAGUGGAAUAUUGAUGGUAUGUCUGAGUAUAACAUCCUAGGAUUGUUGCAACAGAUGACCAUAGCAGCAAACACUUAUAAAACUCAGUCGGGAGCUUCUGACAAAGCCAUUGCAGAAAUUCUCAUUGUUGGUUUUACUGGUCAACUUAAAGGUUGGUGGGAUCAUCUUCUCACCAAACAGCAACAGUUAGAUAUCCUAGAUUCUAUUCAAAUAGAUGAAAAUGGAGCUCCCAUUCUUGAUGAAUUUAAUAGUCCGAUUCAGGAUGCCAUUGCUACCCUGAUUCUGACUAUAUCCCUCUAUUUCAUAGGUGAUCAUUCACACCUUAGAGAUAAAAAUGCUGAGUUACUACAUAAUUUGAGAUGUAGGAAACUUAGUGAAUUCCAAAACUACAAAACCACAUUCUUUACCAUACUUUUCCUUAGGGAUGAUGCAAAUCAUAUAACUUGGAAGGAAAAAUUCAUUGCAGGUUUACCUACCCUAUUAGGAGAAAAGGUUAGGAAUUCUAUUAAAGCCCUUUAUGACAACCGUAUACCAUAUGAUGAGCUCACCUACGGUGAACUUGUCAAUUUCAUUAAUAAGGAAGGUUUAAAGAUUUGUCAAGACUUAAAAUUACAGAAACGACUAAAAUGGGAGCUUAGAAAAUCUAAGCAAGAAUUAGGUAGUUUCUGUAAGCAAUUCAAUUAUGACCCCUUUAAAACCUCCACCUCAAAAGAUUGUGAUGGUAAGUGUUUUUCAAAACCUUACAAAAAACAUUACAAGUCUAAAAGCCAUAGAAAACCCUUUCAAGAUUUUAGAGAACUUUCUUAUAAGAAACCAUCGAGGCCUUAUAAGAAGCCCAAUUUCUCUAAAAAGAAAGAGUUUAAACCUAAACAAAAAACUCCUUUUAACUACAAAGAAACCACAUGUUAUAAAUGUGGAAAGAAAUGUCUCACUGCAAAAUUCUGUAGAAUGAGCAGAAAACUCCACGAGCUUGACCUUGAUGAAGAAAUACUCUCUAAAGUAGCCCCUUUGCUUAUAGAGUCUUCUGACUUUGAGUCUUCCAUGACGGAAGACAGUGAGCCUUUACAGGUUGAUGAGUUAAUUGACUCAGAUACGUCUGUUUCCAGUGAUAGUGAUUCUGAUACGGAAUCCUAUUUAAAGACUAAAAAACUCAAUGUUUUGACUAAAGAACAAGAAACUUUUCUUGAGUUAGUAAAACAUAUUUCUGACCCUACUCUUUAAAAAGAGUAUCUUGAUAAGCUUCUAAAAACCCUAGAGCUAAGAGAUAGACUAUAAACUUCUAAAGCCCCUAUCAUUAAAAAGAAUACGUAUGAUCUUACUGAGAUCUUGAAUAAAAAGAAAGCAAAGAAAACAAUUCCCAAUAUCCAAGACCUUCAAAGAGAGAUUAAAGAAAUCAAACUUGAAAUAAAAGACUUAAAAGAAAAACAAAAGAAUGAUUCCGAAACCAUCCAACUCCUCCUACAAAAACAAUUACAGGAUGAUUCGGAUAAAGAAUCUGAAAAUGGUGAUAAUGGUGAUCAAAGCCUAGAAAACAUUGAAUCUAUACCCAAUGACUUUCUGUUUGUUUUAAAACAAAUCACCACAAGAAAAUACUUGAUUAAAAUCACCUUAAUUCUCUCUAAAGAUUUUAUAAUUGACACCAUUGCCCUUUUUGAUACUGAUGCCGAUUUAAAUUGCAUUAAAGAAGACAUUGUCCCUAAAAAGUUUCACGAAAAAACCACUGAAAGACUUUCUGCUGCUAAUAAUUCAAAAUUAAAAGCUAAAUCUAAAGUUGAAGCCUCUAUUCAUAACAAUGGUUUUGAAUUUAAGACUUCUUUUAUUUUUACAAAUGACAUACACCAUACUGUCAUUUUAGGAACCCUCUUUAUAAAUUUAAUUACCCCCUAUACUGUCAACUAUGAUAAUAUCUCAUUUAAAGCAAGAUCUAAAAGACUUAUUUUCCCUUUCAUAGAAAAACCAAAAACAAGAAAUUUAAAUAUUGUUAAAGCUUGUUCUGUUUAUCAGAACCAAAUCAAUGCACUCCUUAAAUCUAAACAAAAUGAUUUAACUUGUUUGAAAAAAGAUUUGAGUUUACAAAGAAUUGAAAGCCAAUUACAAAAUGAAUUUAUAAAAAGAAAAAUCUCUGAUUUUAAAGACCUCAUUGAAAAAGAAAUAUGCGCGGAUCUACCAUCUGCUUUCUGGAACAGAAAAUAACAUUUGGUUGACUUGCCUUACGAAAAUUCCUUUGAUGAAAAACAAAUGCCUACUAAAGCCCGUCCAAUCCAGAUGAACAUGGAAUUGGAACAACAUUGUAAAGAUGAGAUAAAAGAUUUAGAAUAAAAAGGACUAAUAGUAAAAUCUAGGUCUCCAUGGUCUUGUGCCGCUUUCUAUGUUAACAAAAACUCUGAAAUAGAAAGAGGAACACCUAGACUUGUGAUAAACUAUAAACCUUUGAACAAAGCAUUAAAAUGGAUUAGGUAUCCCAUACCUAAUAAAAGAGAUUUGCUCCAGAAACUUCAUUCUGCAUUCAUUUUCUCAAAAUUUGAUAUGAAAUCUGGAUUUUGGCAAAUUCAAAUUCAUUCCAAAGACUGCUAUAAAACAGCCUUUACUGUUCCUUUCGGACAGUAUGAAUGGACUGUAAUGCCAUUUGGUCUAAAGAAUGCUCCCUCAGAAUUUCAUAGAAUAAUAAAUGACAUUUAUAAUCCUUUCUCUGAAUUCUGCAUUGUUUAUAUUAACGAUGUACUGAUCUUCUCCCAAACAGUAGAUCAGCAUUUCAAACAUUUAAAGACCUUUUACCUUGCCACUAGAAGGGCUGGUUUAGCCAUUUCUAGUUCUAAAGUUUCUUUGUUUCAAACAAAGAUCAGAUUCCUUGGUCAUUAUAUUUCCAAAGGAACCAUAACACCUAUAGACAGAUCUCUUGCGUUUGCAGAUAAAUUUCCUGAUAAAAUGCUUGACAAAACCCAAUUACAAAGAUUCUUAGGAAGUUUAAACUAUGUUCUCGAUUUUUGUCCAAACAUCAAUAGGAUUUCAAAGCCAUUGCAUGAUAGAUUAAAGAAAAAUCCUGUUGCAUGGACUGAUGAGCAUACUAAGACUAUUAAACUGAUAAAAUAAUCUGUUAAAAAUAUCCCAUGUUUGUUUCUUGCCAAUCCUACAUUACUUAAAAUUGUUAAAACUGAUGCAUCAGAGUUAGGUUAUGGAGGUAUAUUAAAGCAAAAAAAAAUGAUAAAGAACAAAUAGUGCAGUAUGUUUUUGCUCACUGGAAUGAAUGCCAAAGAAAUUACUCUACCAUUAAAAAAGAAAUUCUUUCUAUUGUUUUGUGUAUAUCGAAAUUCCAAAGUGAUUUAUUAAAUCAAAAAUUUUUGCUUAGAAUUUAUUGCAAAGCGGCAAAACAUGUUUUGAAAAAAGAUGUUCAAAAUAUUGCUUCAAAAUAAAUUUUUGCAAGAUGGCAAGCUAUUUUAAGCGUUUUUGAUAUUGAGUUUAUUAAAGGAGAUACAAAUUCUGUCCCUGAUUUUCUAACCAGGGAAUUUCUUCAAAACAGAUAAUGCCGCCCAAGAAGAAAGACAAAGGUAAAGCUGUUCUAAAAGACACUGAGUCACAUCCAACCUCCAAAGAACCCCAAUCAACCCCCUCUAAAGAAAAAUUACUUUCUUCUGCCAUGCCUAUAAAAUCCUGGAUUGAAAUGGCUGAAGAACAAGAAGCCCAAUAUAAAGCCACUACCUCCGAAGACCAGGUAAAAGAAUGAAUGAAUUCCAUUACAAAAUCUCCAGAGCUUAUGCUCGCCUUACAAAAUAUUUCUCAAAGUAAAGCCCUUUCUCAAGUUCCUGAGAAAGAAAAACUUGUUUCUAAAGAAAUUUCAAAAUCUUCUUCCCCUAAAGAAGUUGUUUCAUGUGAAAGCUCUUCUUCACAAAUUAUUGUUUCUCAAUCAAAGCUUUAACAAAAAUCUUCGGAUUGGUUUAAUAAAGCCUAUCAACAAAAUGUUUUAACCAUAGAAGAUGAGUUUUAUCAUUCUGAUCCAUUUUAGGCUAUUUCAAAGAUUUUUCCGAAAGGCUGAUUUUUCAAACCAUGGGAUUUAACAAAACCCCAAUCUUUCUAGAUUGUUUAUAUUAACGAUGUACUGAUCUUCUCCCAAACAGUAGAUCAGCAUUUCAAACAUUUAAAGACCUUUUACCUUGCCACUAGAAGGGCUGGUUUAGCCAUUUCUAGUUCUAAAGUUUCUUUGUUUCAAACAAAGAUCAGAUUCCUUGGUCAUUAUAUUUCCAAAGGAACCAUAACACCUAUAGACAGAUCUCUUGCGUUUGCAGAUAAAUUUCCUGAUAAAAUGCUUGACAAAACCCAAUUACAAAGAUUCUUAGGAAGUUUAAACUAUGUUCUCGAUUUUUGUCCAAACAUCAAUAGGAUUUCAAAGCCAUUGCAUGAUAGAUUAAAGAAAAAUCCUGUUGCAUGGACUGAUGAGCAUACUAAGACUAUUAAACUGAUAAAAUAAUCUGUUAAAAAUAUCCCAUGUUUGUUUCUUGCCAAUCCUACAUUACUUAAAAUUGUUAAAACUGAUGCAUCAGAGUUAGGUUAUGGAGGUAUAUUAAAGCAAAAAAAAAUGAUAAAGAACAAAUAGUGCAGUAUGUUUUUGCUCACUGGAAUGAAUGCCAAAGAAAUUACUCUACCAUUAAAAAAGAAAUUCUUUCUAUUGUUUUGUGUAUAUCGAAAUUCCAAAGUGAUUUAUUAAAUCAAAAAUUUUUGCUUAGAAUUUAUUGCAAAGCGGCAAAACAUGUUUUGAAAAAAGAUGUUCAAAAUAUUGCUUCAAAAUAAAUUUUUGCAAGAUGGCAAGCUAUUUUAAGCGUUUUUGAUAUUGAGUUUAUUAAAGGAGAUACAAAUUCUGUCCCUGAUUUUCUAACCAGGGAAUUUCUUCAAAACAGAUAAUGCCGCCCAAGAAGAAAGACAAAGGUAAAGCUGUUCUAAAAGACACUGAGUCACAUCCAACCUCCAAAGAACCCCAAUCAACCCCCUCUAAAGAAAAAUUACUUUCUUCUGCCAUGCCUAUAAAAUCCUGGAUUGAAAUGGCUGAAGAACAAGAAGCCCAAUAUAAAGCCACUACCUCCGAAGACCAGGUAAAAGAAUGAAUGAAUUCCAUUACAAAAUCUCCAGAGCUUAUGCUCGCCUUACAAAAUAUUUCUCAAAGUAAAGCCCUUUCUCAAGUUCCUGAGAAAGAAAAACUUGUUUCUAAAGAAAUUUCAAAAUCUUCUUCCCCUAAAGAAGUUGUUUCAUGUGAAAGCUCUUCUUCACAAAUUAUUGUUUCUCAAUCAAAGCUUUAACAAAAAUCUUCGGAUUGGUUUAAUAAAGCCUAUCAACAAAAUGUUUUAACCAUAGAAGAUGAGUUUUAUCAUUCUGAUCCAUUUUAGGCUAUUUCAAAGAUUUUUCCGAAAGGCUGAUUUUUCAAACCAUGGGAUUUAACAAAACCCCAAUCUUUCUAGCAAAGCAUACUUGAGUUCACUGAGUCAGUAAAGUUUAAACAUUUCUUCCUUAGUGAAGCUCAUUCUGAGCCAGCCUAUUCCACAGCUACCAUCCUUAAAGUCCUUAGCCCAAAUCAGUGGGGUGACCAGCUCCACAAAUCAAAGACUUUUCCCGCCAAUUUUCAAUGACGUUUAAACCGCUGUCUAACUUUCUCCUACUGGGAUUAUCAGCAGGCUUGGUUUAAUACCUUUUUUAUCCAAAAUCCCAAAAGAUCUCACUCUUGGUUAUUUUUCUUUAAUUCAAAAAUAACCGUUCAAAGCCUUUCAAAUUGGUUCAAAAUUUGGUGGAACUAUUUUGGGCCAAGCCCAGAAAUUCUAACCCAAAAUGCCAUCAAAUGUUUAAAUUUAUUUAAAGCCCACUAUGUUCCUUCUGAGCCUGAGAAGAGAUUUCCCCAUUUUCUCUGUUUCUGUACAAAUUUUUUCCUUCUCUGGGUUUGGAUGUGGAAUUUCCAAUACCACACCAUAGACACCCAACUAGUUUUACAAAGAACCUUCAAAGCCAAAUGGUGGUCUAAAUUUGAUGAACAGUCAAAAUUGUCUGAAGCCACAAUCCAAUCCUGGCUAUCUACAAGAGGCCUCCUUGCCCCAAGUAAAGAAGUAGCCAAAGCCCAAAGUACUUUCCUUGCCCAGAGAGCAAAAUCCCAAUCCCUGUUGGCCAGUGCCAAAACCGAAGAUGAAUAUUUCAAAGUAAUGCAGCAGCUUCUUGCCACGAGAUCUGAACCAUCCGUUGCAAGUUCUUCUUCAAGCUCCUCAGGCGAUGCUGAACCGUUCAUUUCCCUUGGAGAUGAAAACGAAGAUGACUGCUUCAGAAUAUUCUCUUCUAUAAAGCAUUAAAGCUUUGAUAAAAAAAAAAGAGUAAAUAUUCUCUUAUUUUCCUUAUUUCCUUUAUUACUUAUGCAAUCAAUAAUUGUGUUUCCCUUUGUAAUAAUUACUUUGUUGUAAUAAUUUUUAGUAUAUAUUUGUGUAUUUGUUUAUUUUUCUGGGUGGUCCCCUAGACACAAGUGAGAGCGCACAUGUCUCUUCACCUGGGUUUUUACCUUUUCAAGACCACUUUUCUAUGUUCUGUCUCCAAUAAAGUCUCAUCCUACCAGCCACGCAUGUGAAAUUACAGCAAAAUCAAUUAAAGCUGAAGAUACCCUCAAUCAUAUUGUCUCCCACGACACUUCCCUUGAUUGGCCUUUUCUGGUAAAGCUACAGUUUCGCUACAGUGGAUGAAUAAAGCUACGGUUGAAGCUACAGUUGAAGCUACAGACUCGCCACAGUUCAAGCUUCAGUUGUUUUUAAAUUCAAAGCUAUGUAACAUUUAGGGACAGAGUUUUGUUUACAAUUUUCAUAUUCUCUCUCUCUUUACGAGAAAUCAGGAUCAAGACAUCAAGGAAAAUUAUUUCCUGUCUUGUAAUUUUCCCUUUCUAAAAAAUCUGUAAACAUAUUCCAUUGUAAAGCUCUCAGAUUCAAGCAACUUAUGUAAGCAUCUCUCAUUUAAUCUAUUUAAAGUUCAAAUGCAUGUUUAGAUUUCCGCAAUUUAAUUAAAGUUUUUAAUUUUAUAAAACCUGCUACGUUCCUCUAAGGCAAAGAGACCGGAUCUCUGUCCUUAGUUGUAUCUUCUCUUCUCCCUCUAUCCAGUCAGAAUACUAUUUCUGGGAUCCAGAUCUAGUAUUAUCUAUGAGCCUUUAGACUUUGUUGCUAGGCUUGUUUAAAAGAAUUUGUUUGAAACCAUCCAUAACUUUGCCUUCUAGUAUAUCGGCUGGAAAACAGAACGUGCGAGAUAUUGAUCUGUUCUAAGUCAGAUCUGGUCUCAAAGGCAGAUUAAGUUCUGCAUCGAUUUGGUCACAACGCCACGUACUAAGGUAUAUAACCAAAUCAAUUCUUGAUUAAAAUUCAAUUUAAAAUUUACUGAAAACACAUCCAUCAUUCGAUCCUAUUUCCUUCUGGUAUCAGAGCCAAUGGGAGGAUAGUGUAAUAUAGGUUAGAGAUUUGUGUUUAAAGACUUAUGUUUUAGUUGAAUUUUGUGUGUGUGGUGAGUGUUACUUCUGGUGCCUUGGUAGUUAUCAGACCCCCAACAAUAUUAUCCUAUUUCCUUAUGGAUAAUAUUGUUAUUCCCUAGUUGCCCAUAAAUAAUCUACCCAUUCUGACCUUCUUGGCAUUCUUGUGCAUUUAUUGGUUGUAUUUUUCCUCGGAGAUAAAUUCCUUAUAUAUGCAACCAUGUCUGUAUAUGCAUAUUUUGUUGGGGGUCUAAUAUGCCUUAUUUCUAUAUCCCUAGCUAACUGAUGUUGUUGUAAAUCAAUUGCUUGUAGUGCUUCACCUUCUGUUACUUAUAUAUCUUGAGACUCAGUUUCAACAGCUUCUGGUUGUAUUUCAUCUUCACAGGUAUUAGAGAACUCCACCUCAAUCGUUUCACCUUGAUCAAUGACCUUAGUGGCUUGUGUCUUAUUUGCACUAAUGUCAGUAUCAGAAGUGACUUGAUCAGGGUUAUUGAUCAUAGCAACUUCAUUAAACUGAACAUCUCUACUAAUUAGACACUUAUUAGCCUCUCUACACCAUACCCUGUAGCCUUUUACCCCAUUCAGAUAACCAACAAACCCUCCUUUUACAGCUCUUGCAUCAAGCUUCCAUUGUCUAACAUGGACAUAAGUAGGGCAUCCAAAUACCAUGAGAUGUUCAUAACUUCCAGGCUUUCCAAACCAAAGCUCUUCAGGAGUUUUAAAGCCAAUUACAGCAUAUGGACUUUUGUUUACUAGGUAACUAGCUGUAGAAACAACUUCUGCCUAAAAACUUCUAGGAAGCUUAAAGUUUAUCAGCAAACACCUUGUCUUAUCAACAAGUGUUCUAUUCAUCCUCUCAGUUAAACUAUUUUGCUGAGAGGUGAAUCUCACUGUUUUGUGCCUCAUAAUUCCCCAUUUCUGGCAGCUUUGCUCAAAUUCUUUGUUACAAAAUUCAAGUCCAUUGUAUGUUCUUAAGCAUUUUACCUUGAAACCAGAUUGAGUCUCCACCAAAGUCUUCUGAAUCUUGAACUUUGCCAAGGCUUAGUCUUUGGUCUUCAGUAUGUAGAUCCAUACUUUCCUGGAAUACUCAUCUAUAACCGACAUGAAAUAUCUUCCCCCACUCAAAGAUGGCACCUGGGCAAGCCCCCACAGAUCAGCAUGCACAUAGUCUAAUCGUUGCCAAAAAUGCAGUUUUCACAAAAAUCUAACUCAUCUAUUUUAUCACCACACAACAAUCCUUUCUUACUCAACUCUUGCAUUCCCCUAAUACUCAUAUGGCCAAGUCUAAGAUGCCAUAACACGGUUCUAUCAACAUCAGAAAUAGCAGGCAUUGCAGCUGACACAGAUACUAAUGAUCCUUCUAACACAUAAAGGCCAUUUUUCUUUACUCAUUUCAUUAUCAUCUCAGUCCCCUUCAUAAUCUUUAAACCACCAUUCUCAUAUUUGAAGCAAUAUCCCAUACUAUCCAGCAUGCCUAAAGAGAUCAAGUUUCUCUUUAGCCUAGGUGCAUGCCUUACAUCACAUAGAGUUGUAACAGUCUCAUCAAACAUCUCUAUUUUGACAGACCCCAUACUAACAGCCUUACACACAUUGUUAUUGCCCAUCAACACUCUACCACCAUCCACAGAUUCAUAUAUAUGGAAAAGGCUUCUAUCAGGAUACAAAUGAAAGGAACAAUCUGAAUCAAGAACCCACUGACUUUUAAUAUUGUUGUAUGAAGCCACCAACAAAUUAGCCCUAUGAUUAGGGUUGGCAAUUUAAGGGCCUAGGCCGGGCUUUGCCAAGCCCAGGACCAGGCCCAUAUCUUGUUUAAAAAGUCCAGGCCCUCUCAAAGCCCAUCCAAAUUGGGCGGGCUUUGGGCGGGCCGGGCCUGUACGAAUUUUCAAAUUUUUUUUAAUAAAACUAUAAAUUUUCAAAACAUAAUUAUCCAAUACAUAAUACUACAAUAGGCUAAAAACUUAAACAUAAUUCUCUAAUACAUGAUUAGCCAACACAAAAUAUAAAAAUACUAACAUCACAAGUACCAUACACAACAUACAAAUCAAGUAAUCAACCACUAAUAUAAAAAAAAAAAAACUAAUCCAAUAUUUGCGGGCCAUUUUCGUCCUCAUCCUUCAAUUCCUCGCCGGUAAAAAUUUCUUCUUCAGGAACUCCACCUAAUAAAAAAAAGUGUUAAAAUAAAUAAUAAAGCAAAAUAAUUAGUAAUUAAUUUUGUAAAAAAAUGUUUUUAUACCUCUAUUGCUAGUAGCCCAUAACCAAUGCUGAGAGCACAUGAUAGCUUCCAACGUGUCUGGAUGUAGUCUACUUCGAUGUGGACUCAAUGUUCUACCCCCCGUACUAAAAGCCGACUCUGAGGCAACAGUUGUCACAGGUAUGGCUAGCAAAUCCUUGGCCAUCUCCGCCAAAAUAGGAUAUUUACCUUUGUUCAUCUUCCACCAUUGUAAAACAUCAAAAUCCGGAGUUCUUUUGACUAAAGGAUCCUCCAAAUACCUAUCUAAGUCAGACUUCGAACUAAUAGGUUGACUAUUUUAGGUUGCAUAUGCAUCAAAAUCACCCAAAUCAUCUAUAUCAUCAAAAUCAAUAAGAGAUUGGUCGGAAGGAACAACAAGUGCGGUAGAAGACUCACCAACAACACCGUAUCUCGUAGUUGCGAAUUUGGCCUCAUAAUAAUUCAUCAUUUCAUCACAAAGCUCCCGUACUCUCUUAAGUUGAUUUUCAAGGCCGACUACAUAAAUCUUCGGAUAAUAAUAAUUAAUCAACAUCAUCUUGUAUCUCGGAUCAAGAAUAACAGCCAUGACCAAUACCCCACUAAUCUCAUCCCAAUACUUCAAAAAUUUUCCAAUCAUGUUAUCCGCCAUAUUCUUAACUGCAGGAACAUCGGAUGUUUGCCAACCCUUCAAUGCAAUCCUCAUUUUACAAACCAAUGGAAAAAAAAAAGAUUAGCAGUGGGGUAUGUUGUACCUGAAAACAUCUCAGUCAACUUUGAAAAAAGGCCUCAAAUAAUCUAGCAUUUGCUUAGCCAACUCCCAUUCCUCACUACUAGGCAAACACUUGUAUUGUGGCUCAAGUGUUUGCAGUCGAGAAAAAACACUUUUGUACUUCACUGCAAGUUCAAGCAUCGCAAAAGUCGAAUUCCAUCUAGUUGGACAAUCAAGCCCCAACUUUUUCACAUCUAUUUGUAUUUGACGACAUGCCACCUCAAACUUUUCCACCCGUUUUGGCGAUGAACUCCAGUAAGACACACUGUCUCUAACACGUGUAAUACCACUCUCAAUCACCGACAACCCAUCCUUCACAAUUAAAUUCAAAAUAUGAGCCGCACACCUCAUAUGAAAAAAAUUACCGCUCAAUAUCAUUGACUCAGUGGACAACAAUCCCUUCAAUCUUGCAACCAUCGCAUCAUUAGUUGAACAAUUAUCCAAAGUAACUGUGGAUAACUUUCUAUCUAGAUUCCAAUCCAUCAAACACUUCACCAAAAUUUGGGAAAUGCAAUCAGCUGUAUGUGGGGCUUGCACAUAUAUAAAUCUGUUCAAAUUUAAAUAAAAAAUUUUUAAAUUUAAUAAAGUGCCUAUACUGUACAAAUUUAAAUACAAAAUUUAAAUAUUUAAUAAAGUAAAAAUACCUUAGAAUUCGACUUUGCAAAUGCCAAGAGUUGUCAAUGAAAUGCCCUGUAACAACCAUAUAACCUUUCUUUUGAUUACAAGCCGUCCACAUGUCUGUAGUAAUUGCCACCCUACUAUUAGUAAUCUCCAACAAAUUCAUUGCCUUCCCCUUUUCAAUAUUAUAUAUCUUAAAUAUCUCACUCUUUAAAGUGUUUCUGGACAUAUGCUUCACCAAUGGAUUGCAAUAAUCAACAAAAUCUCUAAAUGACUCAUACUCCACAAAUCUAAGAGGAAGCUCAUGUUUAACAACAACUGUUGUAAGUUUUUGACGUGCAACCAAUGGAUCAAAUUUCUGAAUUCCAAGCUCACCACUUUCGGUUUUCACCAAGUGUUGCUUAUUAUCAAAAACUUCUUCAAUUGUCGGUUGAUUAAAACCAUGAAUUUGUCUAGUAUGUCUAUUCAAAUGACUGGUUCCCGAUCCACAAGAAAGAAUCGUUCCACAAUGAUUGCAUUUUGCCUUUGCUACACUACCAACAUUUAGUUUUGUGAAAUGGUCCCAACAAUUUGAAACAACCCUCUGUUUUCUUUUUUUAUCAUUCCACACUUCUUCUUGAACAUUUUCCGACUCCACAGAUGGAUUUGAAGGUAAAUUAGAAGAUUCAGGGACAUUUUCCAUUAUAAACCUAUACAAAAUUAUAGGAGAUAAAAUAUUAAAUUAAUAAAUUAAUUAAGCUAAGUGUAAAAGUAGUAAACGCAUACUGCAUUUACAAGCACAGGAGUGACAGGACAGCAAAUUUACAUUUGCAAUGCCAUGGCUGAAUUGCCACCCUACUAUUAGUAAUCUCCAACAAAUUCAUUGCUUUCCCCUUUUCCACAUUAUAUAUCUUAAAUAUCUCACUCUUUAAAGUGUUUCUGGACGUAUGCUUCACCAAUGGAUUGCAAUAAUCAACAAAAUCUCUAAAUGACUCAUACUCCACAAAUCUAAGAGGAAGCUCAUGUUUAACAACAACUGUUGUAAGUUUUUGACGUGCAACCAAUGGAUCAAAUUUCUGAAUUCCAAGCAUUUUUGCCUGGUUAAACUCUUUUCUGUGUUCUAGCGAGUUCAUGUCAAAAGAACCAAGGAGGAAAAUUCGAAUAUUAUAUAUAUUGCACAAAUAACAGAAUAUUGUAAAAUAAAGUAGCAAUGAAGCAAACUUGUACAAUUUUCCAUCUGUCAAAGAACCAACACUAUAUAAUAUAUGUAUCAGAGAAUGCCUUCACCGAUAAAUUUCUUAAAAUAUUUUAAUAAAAAUCGCAAUCAUUUGAUCAUUUCCUAUCAACAAUAAUCGCAAUCAUUUCCUAUCAACAAUAAUCGCAACAAAAAAAAUGACAGGAAGCUUAAUUAACAAUUUGACAUGGAUUACCUGAGUUAGAUGCAGUGUCGCGCGGCUAUGCUGGUGGGUGGGAGGCGCUGCUGCGAGCCUACGACAUGCGGGAGAUGCUGUUGCUGCCUUGCUGGGUGGCUGGACGGUGGGUGGCUGGGCGGUGGGUUACGGCUUACGCGAGAGAUGCUCGCUGCUGCUGCUGCUGGAUGGCUGAUGCUGGCUGGACGCUGCUGAAAUCUGGAGAUGCUCGCUGCUGUUGGCUGCCGGUGGCGAGAACAGUGAGACGCCGACACGUUGACGCCGUGACAGUGAGUGAGAUUUUGUCAGUGUGCUCACUGCUCACAAAGUCACAAAUAAUGGUGCUCACGAUUUAGGGAUUUGGUUUUGUCAAUUGUCACAGUUAUAUUAUUUAUUAUAAAGCCCGAGCUUUUCAUUCAGGCCCUUAACUGAGCCCACAUGUUAUGGGCUUUAUUAAUUAUGAGCCCUUAUCCAUAAUUUCAAGCCGCGGGCUGGGCUUAAAGCCCGCGGGCCUGGGCUGGGCCUGGGCCGGCCCGGGCUUUUCUGCCAACCCUACCUAUGAUAUCCAUCAUGAGAUGAGUCAUCUGAGGCCACUAGUGCAUCCCAUGUUCUUUCUUUUUCAUUCUUCUUUUUCUCAGCAAAAUCCUUGAUGUAAUAGUCUGUUUUUUUACAGUAAAAACACUUUUUUUUCUUCAUUUUUUUCUUUUGCAGAUGCAUCAUCCUUUUUAGCUUGACUCUUGUUAUUCUUCUUCUGGUUUUUCUUAUCUGUUCGGGCAACUAAACCUUUACGAUUACUUACUUCUUGCCCAUUACUCUUUUGAAUCUCCUUAGAGCUCAAAGAGGCUUUCACAUCCCCUGGGGCUAGAGUGGUUAUUCCAUACAACAUAGUGUUAAUAAACCCUUAAUAGAUUUUAGGUAAUGAACUCAGGAAAAAGAAGGCUUUAUCCUCAUAAGUGAUUUUCACAUUUUCAACUCCUUCAAGAUCAAGAAUGAUCUUGUUGAAGUUAUCAAUGUGUUCUUGAAUAGAAACCCCUUCUUUCAUAGAGAAGGUGUAUAAUCUUUUCUUUAAGAACAAUCAACAUGCCAAGGACGUUUUCAUACAUAGAGCCUCCACCUUGUUCCAAAUACCAAGGGUUGUAUUCUCUUUAAAAAUUUUCCUUAGAUUUGAGUCACUAAGACGCAAGAUCAAGGUACUGUGAGCCUUAUUUUGUAUCUAUCUUUUCUUCUCAUCAGAGACUGAACUUAGAAGCACCUCUAAGAUUAUCUUAUUCUAGAGCUGAUUCAAGACCCUCAUUAACAAGGAGAGCCCUCAUUUUCAUAUUCUAAAGUGAAAAAUCACCACCAAUUGUGAACUUUUCAAUAUCGUGCUUUCGAAGAGACAUGUUCUUGAACCACCAAAGGCUCUGAUACCAAUUGUUAUAACUUCUAAUAGAUACAAAAGAAAUUUUAAGAAGCACUUUGACGAAUUGGACUAGAAAGAACAGAUCAAAAUAAACCAAUCAAGAAAGAAAUCACAAGAAACAGAUUUAAAGCACAGUUCCAAGUAUACAACUUGAUGAAGGAAAAAAAAAAAGCUCUUUAUUGAUCUCAACAAUUGAAUUACAAGCUAAUCACAAAAAAGAAAUUACAAGGAUCACAAAGAACCAAAUUGUAAGCAAAAUGAACAAGAAAUGAACAAGAUAUCGAUAUGAUAUUAGAGGCCAGUCACAAGUGCCUUUUAUUAUGAUAUUUCUAGAAAAAGUCAUAAUGAACUCUCAAUGAAUUCUGCCACAUCAGCAUAAGUUUUUCAACUAGACCCCUCCAACUGAAGUCGAUCUGCACACUGCCCCAAGAAUUCUUCAAAUCUUACAUUUAAACGCAACGAACCAGCAACUUAUUUCCUCAUAAUGUUCUUAUAAUUUUUGUAUGCCAAUUUGGUAAACAAAUCAAAACCUCUUUGUGAAGAAUAAUUUUCAAAAUUCGGCAUGAACUCGGGAUGAUGAAAUUUAUUAAUAUCUCUAAUCAUGUUAUUAAUAUUAUUAAAAUUGAUUUCUUGAUGAUUUUGAUGAUUGAUUAUGAUAUGUGUAUUGCUUGAUGAAUUGAUGGAAUUGUUGGUUUAUUAUAAUUGUUUAAGGUUAUAGGGGAGUGUCUUUACAAAUGUUGUGUAUUUGAGAAUUUGUUCAUUUUUAAGGGAAGACUUUGCCGAAAUUCUUGCUCACACAAAAUAGGUAAUAUCUUCAUCAAAUUAUUUUUUAUAACCUUAUUUCGAUUGCAUCUAUCUAUCUUUUCUUUUUUAAGAUGAAGGGGGAGAUAAAUAUGAUAUGUUUUUAGAUAAAAUCAUUUUGGUUAAAAUUUUAAAUUAGCCAUAUAUUUAGGGGGAGCAUACAAUAUGAUUUUGGAUAAUAUGCAUUUUGAACUUUUUUUGUUGUCCAAAGGGGGAGACAAAGUAAUAUAUUAUUUCAAUGUUAUCCAAAAGGAAGAGAAUAUAUGCACCUUGAGUAUUGUUUUGAUGAUUGAUAUGUGAUUAUGGUGAUGAUUUUGAUGAUUUUUGGAUAUGAUGAUGAUUUGAUUAUAUGGUUGUUUUAUAUGAUAAUUUUAUGUUAUGAGUUGUUGAUUUGGUAAUUGAUGGAAUAAUGGUCCAUGAUUUUUUUAUGGUUGAUGGAUUGUGUGAUGAUUUGUAUAUGGAGUUGGCUUAUAUCAUGAUUUAUAAUAAUUUGGGAGUAAUAUUAUUAAACUUGUAUUUGAGGUAAUGUUCGUUGUUAGGGGGAGAUUCUAUCAAAAUUUAUACUCAGACAACAUGGAUAACAAAUUUACUACUUUCUUUCUUUUCUACUAAGUUUUCUUUUUUAUGAUGAAGAGGGAGAAGAAUAUAUGUAUUUAAAUUUGUUAAUUUAGCAAAAUUAUAAUAGAAGAUUACAUUUAGGGGGAACAAUUUGUGGAAUCAUUCUUUAAAUAUAUGAAAGGUUUGUCAUCAUAAAAAAUGGGGAGAUUGUUAACAUAUAUGUUUUCAAAAUAUUGAUUUUGAUAAUAACAAACAAGAUUAAUAAUGAUUAAUAUUUUAAGCUCAAAUUGUAAGGGGAGCUUACAUUUAGGGGGAGUAAUUUGUGCAAUCAUUUUUUAAAUACAUGAAAAUUUUGUCAUCAUCAAAAAGGGGGAGAUUGUUAACAUAUAUGUUUCCAUGAUAUUGAUUUUGAUGAUAACAAGCAAAAUUAAGAAUGAUUAAGUUUUUUAAAAGCUCAAAUUAUUUUUUUAUACAUUUUAAAUAAAUCAUUAUUUUCACAUUAUAAAGGUUUUAUAUUUAGUGGAAAAAUGAUUUUAUAAAAUUGGUUGUUUUUCAAGUUUAUGGUCUAAUUGAAAGAGUUUUGAAAACUUUGAAAUCAACAAGUAUUGCUUAGAAUUAUGGAGAAAGACUUAUUUGAAAAGUUUCAUAGCGUUUUGGGUGAUAUCAUAACUCCAAAAAGUUUUAGGAAUAACAAGUAUUAUUUAAAAAUUCUAAAAUUGGACUUUUCUGGAAAGUUUUAUCCCGUUUUGGGCCAUAGCUUAAUUCUAUAAAGUUUUGGGUCAACACUAUAAUUUUUUAAAAUAGUUCACUGUAGUAGUCACUAUAGCUAAGCGGCUAAUCAGAUUUGACAAGUGGUAGAUCGGAUUUUGGACAGCAACUCACUGGAAUGAAAGAGGCUAACCAGAUUCAGAAAACGGCAUGCGGAUGUUCUAAAAUUCAAAUAUUUGUUGUAACGGUAACAUAAAAGCGGCUAAUCGGAUCCCAAAAGAGGCAAAUCAGUUAUAAUUAGAAAACUCAUAAUGGCUAGUUUCUGAGCUUAAACUAUAUAAACUCAAAUCCAAUUCAUUUUUGGCAGUCUUGCCAAGCAUAAACAAGUCCACAACAUAUAUUGAGCUUCAAUUUCGCAAAUCAUCAUAAAUUAAAUCUUCAUUGAGCUAUCAUUUGAAUAUCCACUCUAAAAGAGUGUUGUUUGUUAUCAUUAGAAAACUUAUAACGGGUAGUUUCUGGGCUCAAAGUAUAUAAACUCAAAUCCAAUUCAUUUUUGGCAGUCUUGGCAAGCAUAAACAAGUUCACACAAUAUAUAUUAAGCUUGAAUUUCGUAAAUCAUCAUAGAUUAAAUCUUCAUUGAGCUAUCAUUUGUAUAUCCACUCUAAAAGAGGGUUGUUUGUUGUAAUUUUCAUUUCUCAUCAAAUUGUGAGUGUACAAGUGUGAGAAAUAUUUAGAAUGAAGAGAAUGUGGAGAAAAUCUCUUGAUUGUAAAGGUCCAUUGACACCUUGGAAGUCAAUUGUAAAGAGCUUGAAGCCUUAAGAUGCUUGGAUAGUGAAAUCCUCAAGCCGGGUGAGCUUGGAGGUGUGGAUGUAGGCGAGGAUUGCCGAACCACGUAAAAAUCAUUGUGUUUGUUUUCUCUUCUCUUACUCUCUUAUUAUUGUGCUUUAUUGAAUUUAUUGUUUUUUAUUCCAUUAAGGCAUUAGAUUAAAUUGCUAUGUGAUUUGCUUAGCUUAAAUUUUAAAAAUUUCAAUUCAUCCCCCCUUCGGUUGCCUAGUUAGUAUUUCAAUAUAAGGAUGAUUUCCAUUUUUCUUUGGAAUCAAAACUCAUAUAAAGAAAAAAAAAGUAAAUAUAAUUGUCCAUCCUUUCAUGUGAACAAAUAACAAUACUGAUUUUCUUUUAAUUAAAAUCAAACCAAAAUUGGGAGAUGGCCUCAUCGCCCAUCAAUUGUUGUUGGGAGAUGGGUCAUUACCCAUCAAUUAUCUAUCAAAAUAACAAAAUUUCCUGUCAAGUAUGUAAAUUAAAAUGUGAAACAAAGACAUGUUUGUCGUAAUAGUCAUCGCUUACUUGUCAUUAUAUAAGGAUGAUUUCCAUUCUUCUUUGGAAUCAAAACUCAUAUAAAGAAAAACAAAUACAGUAAAUAUAAUUGUCCAUACUUUCACGUGAACAAAUAACAAUAUUGAUAUUGAACUUGAAAUUUUAUCUAUCAAAAUAACUUAAAUUAAUGUCUUCUUUUAAUUAAAAUCAAACCAAAAUUGGGAGGUGGCCUCAUCACCCAUCGAUUGCUAUUGGCAGAUGGGCCAUUACCCAUCAAUUAUCUAUCAAAAUAAUAGAAUUUUCGGUCAAGUAUGGAAAUUAAAAUGUAAAACAAAGACAUGUUUGCCGCAAUAGUCAUCGCUUACUUGUCGCUAUACAAGGAUGACUUCCAAACUUCUUUGGAAUCCAAAGUCAUAUAAAAAAAACAAUAAAUACAAUUCUCCAUCCUUUUGUGUGAAUAAAUAGCAAUAUCGACAUUGAAUAUGAAAUUUUUUCUAUCAAAAUAACUAAAAUUGUUUGCAGUUGGAUAAAAUUUUAUUUAAUUUAUUUUCUGUCUGUCUUGUAUCUUAAUUUAGUUCUUAUGUUUGUUACAAUAAUUUUGUUUCAGAUUAAAGAAUUACUUCUUAAAUUUUAGAUUGUUUGAAUGAUAACAAAAAAAAUUAUAUUAUACAAGUAAAAGAAAUUAAAGAGAGAAAAACAUAAAUGGAGUUAUUCUAUUUGUAUUUGUCCUUAAAUAUAAUUAUAAUCUAAUAUAAUUUUAUAAAAUUAAAAAAAAUCAACUUGGUUUUGGUGAACAAAGAAAAUUCUUAGCUAGUGCAAGAGGCAUCGGAGGGCCCUGCAAAAAAAUAUAAAUGGGCUACACGGACCGUUGGCUGUCCGAAUUCUAUGAAUGUUACUAAUAGAUACAAAAGAAUACAAAUUUAUCAUUUUUUCCUUCUUCAAGAAAUAUUAAUUUCCUCUUUUUUUUUUGGAGAAAUACAUUAACCUAUUAUCCAAGGAAGAGAGCUGGUUGUAUUAGAUUUAAUAUGGUAAAAUAACUAGCAGAGAGUUUACUGCAAAAAAUAAAGAAAAUAUGGAGAGAUAUAUUUUCAAGGCAGUUGUAGAAUAAUUAAUAAAAGAGAGAUUGUCUUAAAAAAAAAAAGAGAGAUUGUGAGAUUCUUCCUACUGAAAUCAAUAUCUAUCACUUACCUCCUUCUAUUUUCAUAAUAUCUAAUAAUUUCCUUGGCAACAUAAUUUAAUAGUAUUAAUCGUAUCUUUUUAUUCACAUUUAUUAUAAAUUGAAUAAAUCAUAUAAAUGUAAAUUAAAAUAAAAAAUUGAAUUACUAAAAAUAAAAAAUAUAUAUUUUGGCGUGAAUAAAAAAUUAAUAAUAAAAUAUUUUUUCUUUUAUUUUUUAUUUUUAAAUAUUUUCUUAUAAAAAAUAUAUAUAUUUUAUAUUCCGAUGAUAAGUUAUUACAUGAAGAGUAAAAAUUGUUAAGUGAAUGACCCAUUUACUUUUAUUUUCCUUUAAAUUUUUUUAUGCUCAUUGAGUUUUUUUAUAUGAUGAAAAAAAAAGAAAAUAAGUGGUAAAUAUCAAUUUUAAUAAAAGAGAAAUUAUUUGUAGAGCAAUAAAGGACCCUGCAAAGAAAUAAAAAUGUGCUUACUACUUGUAGAGGCAAAGCUUAUGUUACAUCAGUUGUAACAACAACCAAUACAUAUGGGUGGUUAGAUUUUGAUAUUUCUUAACCUAAUGGAUGAAAAAUAAUUUUAAUGAAAAACAAGGUAUUGGUGUAAUAACUAUUUACAAAAAAAAAUUAUUUUGAAUCACACAUUUACUUAUUUUUUCAAAUAAGUCCUCCUUAAUUUUUUAAAACUAAAUAAUUUUGUCGUCCAUCUCUUUUACGUCUAUUUUUAAAAUUUUUUAAAGUUUUUACUAUAUUUUUAUAAAGAUCUAAAUGAUUUACAUAUUUAUAAAAAUCUACAAAUUUUAAAUAUAUAUUUGCAUUUACAUUUAUAAUUUUUUGUCUCUCUUAAGAUAUAAACUAUAUUUUUUUCUUUAAUAUAAUUCAAGAUGCUAAAUUUAGAUAAGAGAUAUUAUAUGUGCUAAAUAUUUAUGACUCUAAUAAAUUACUAGAAAGAUGGUAUAAUGAAUAAAUCAUUAGAACCUCCAAUAAUUUCACAAAAUAUAAAAACUAAUAAAUUAUCACAUUCUAACUAUACAAAAAGAGGAUUUUCGUAUGAAAGAUUUCAAUAUUUUGAUCCGAUCCAUUAUUCAGACAUGCGGAGAAAUAAUCAAUUAAAUUGAAUUUCACUAUAUUUAUCAAAUACAUUAGGAAACCCAAAUUUAUCUAUAAAUGACAUAAAAAAAUAAAAUAUUAAAAAUUAAUAAUUUCAAUGAAGAAAACAUACAACCAAUUAAAAAGUUAGUAGUUCAAAUGAGUAAAAAAUUUAAUAAAGUUAAACAAUUAAUAAAAGACUUUAACAUUAGAGAUCAUGAUAUUUUAAAGUAAAAAAUCAUUAAUAUAAUGAAUAAAAACUCAAUAGAUAUAAGAUUAAAUAAGUUGGAGAUUCAAUUAGAUAAAAUAAAAACUUGGUACUAAAUUUGUUAUAAAUAUAAAUGGAAAACUUAAAAAAAAAAUGAAGUACUUGCUGCGUAGUCUAGCUGUAGCUUGGGGUUUAAAAUAAAAAUGUAAAACUUAUUGACUUUUUUAUAAUUAUAAACUUUUUUGAUGAUUUAAAAAUUUAUAGAUGUUUGUUACAGAUAACGUAACAUAAGCUUUGCCACUUGUAGAAAAUUCUUAGUCUCAGACGAGCAUUAAAAUCUUAGUGCCGUCCUCGGACCGCUGGCUUCCGAAUCCCCACUACUAUAAAUAAUAUAGAUUCAAGAGAACACUCACCUGUCAUCCAUUCAUCCUUUCCAUCUUCAAUUAAUAUUCGUGUAUUGAUAUUAAUUACUUCUUACUUUAUUUUGGGCAUAACAAAAAUGGGAUUGGGCUCUAAGAUUUUCCUUCUUUUAGGUCUUGUAAUGACUAUUGUUGUUCUUCUUACUUCGACGAAGGUGGCAGCACUAGAAACCUGGCUGAGGCUUCCAUUGCAACGCGAAAAGGUAAGCUUCUUGGUUUCUGUAUUAACAUGGGUCAUCAUAUCUAUAUAUGUAUAUAUUUAUUAACAUAACAUAACAAUCAGAUUAAUUUCUUCCAGCAAAGCCAAUUAAUGAGCUUCGUUAUACGGUGGUGACCGAUGGUUUACAAAAUGAAUUAUUAUAAAGAUACAAAAAAACUAAGUUGGCCAAAUUGCCAAGAGAACGAGGGAUUGAACCAUCCAAAAAAUUAAAAAAAUUAAAUCUAAAAUAAGGUGAUUAAGAAAAGUCAAUUGGCCUACCUCUUGUGGAAUUGAACCAUUCAAUUGAUUUCUAGAAAUGUGAAGGACCGUUAGAUGAGUCAAAAGGCCAAUUUCUGAUGGUAUCUGACCAGACAACUUAUUAGCUGAAAAAUCAAGUUAUUCUAGUUUGGAAAGGUUACUAAUUUGAGGAAGGAUGAUAUAGAAGAGCUCGUUAUUAUAUAAAACAAGAUACGCAAGAUGAGGAAAUGAUGAGAAUGGGAAUUCAAGAAGAGUACCGUUUAGACUCAUGCUUGUCAGGUUAAUUCCGACAACUCUUCCCGCAUGGUUGCAAUGAAUUCCUGACCAAGCACAUGGGCUUAUUUUGGUGACAUUUACAGAAGAAAGAAACCAUGAAUGCAAGAGAGAACGACUAUGGACUUUAAGGCUGGCUUUCCAUUUCACAAGAGCAUGGCCUUCUUCUAUAGAAUUAGAAGAAACAUCAAGUGAAAAGUCUAAAACAAGAAACAAGAUGAGGGGAAAAACGAGUGAUAUAAUUACUCUAUUAUUUUUCAAGGCUGCUGAAUCCAUUGAUUAUGUUGUUGGGUAGCAAUAGAAAACAAAGAUGAAAAUAGAAGAUGAAUUACAGAAACCAAACGGUGAUGGAGAAAAGAAGCACACUAACACUACUAGAAAAAUAGUCUUUUGUGACACUUGUCUUCUGACACUUUAUUAUAAAGUAUCAGUAAUUACAUGUAUUUGGGGUAUUUUCCGUGUUUAACAGAUAAGUAUCACAAAUUGCUAAUACUAUGGUGUCAGUAAAUUAAAUAUCACAGAUUCGUGACACUAAAGUAUUUGUAGUUAAAAAAAUAAAAUUUUAAUUUCAUAUCUAGAAAUAAUCGAACCGAAGACCCCUAAGCCAUAACCUUUUGAUUUUAACCGCCAUACCACUCGGCCACAAAUUGCAUUUUUAAACAUAUAAAUAAAUAAAUAAAUAAAUAUUAAACUUAAAACCUGAAACCCAAAACCUAAAACCUAAAAUUUUUUCAUGUAUGGUCUGUGUGAAACCUAAAACCUAAAAAUUUUUGUUAAGUCAAAAAUCUAUCACGGCCGUCGAAGCUUUCUUCCUUCUCUCUCCUUCCCUCUCUCUCGCUCUCUUUCUCUCUCUAACAAUGAUAUACCUUGAAAGCCGCCUCCAUCAACACCUUGAAAGCCGCCGUCCUUAAGCUAAAAUAUCCCUAAAAAGAACCCAGAAAGUGCUGUGAAGAAUUUGGGCAAAGUUAAGGUUUGAAAGUCCGAAUCAGUGUUGUGGUAACUCUUUGUCUCAUUCUCUAUUCUCAUUGUUUAAGUAUUUAUCUGUUAAUUGAUUGAUGUUUAUUGAGUGCAAAUGAGAGCUUGCACUUGUUUGGAAAUCUAGCCAUCUAGGGUUUUUGUUGCUUAUAAUCUAAUUUAUUGUUUAAUAAAAUAAAUAAAACGCAACUUUAUUAUAGGUGGAAUUCAGUUUAUUAAGUGAAAAAAUGAUCACAAUCAAUGAUUAUGGAUUUAGGUUGAAUGCAAUUUGUUAAUUAAAAGAAUAAUGGCAAUCGACAAUCAUGUGUUUAGUAUGUAUUAUAUAUUUCGUUUAAUGGUGUGUAUGAAAACCCAAAACUUAAAAUUUUCUUUAAGUAAAAAUCUCAGUUCUCCCUCACGACCUAUAUGCUCAUCUCUCUCUCUCUCUCUCUCUCUCUCUCUCUCCCCACUCUUUCUAGCUAACAACCCAAAACUUAUUGUGAAACCGCCAUAUCAAUCUUUCAAAGCUCAUUAGUUAGCUGGUUAUUGUGAAAAGUAAGGUAGGUUAUUGUUUGCUCAAAGCUCAUUAGUUAGCUGGUUAUUGUGAAAAGUAAGGUUAUUGUUUGCUUUUAUGUCUAAUUUUACUUUAAACAUGGGGAUUGAUGAUAUUCGAGUUGCCGGACACUUGAUUUUGAGGUGAAAGAUUAAUUAAUAGUUUACGAAAUUAUGCUGAAAAUUUGAGGAUUGAUAAACUGUUGUUGUGAACUUGGUUGUUUCCAAACUUGACUAAAUGGCUUUCAAUUGAUUUGAAAGUUUGAUUAAACUAAGUUUAAACGAGAACAUUUUAAUUCUGGAAAUUUUGGAAUGAAUUGGGUUUAUAUUUGAUUUUGAAUGGAUUUUAUGUACCAUGUUUGAUAUUGCAAACGUAUAGUCUAACAGAGUUAGAAUAAGCUGAAAUUUGGAUAAACUACACUUCUAUUGCAUACUUUGAAUCUGGAAAAUUUUAUUUUGUUUGAACUUGUAAUUUAUUUUUAAUGAUUUUUCAAACUCUGCUGCCUCUGCAGUAACUUCUUUUGACAGAACUGUUCAUUAAUCUUUGAUCCUAUCAAACACCAGCCUAAUGAUAUCGGAAUAACCUCAAAUUUUAAUAUGUUGUUCACUUAUAUGUCCACUUAAAAUUUGAAAAGUAUCAUUAUGAUAUAUUUAGUAUUUUAAAUUUAAUAAAUAUUCAAACACCUGCUGCUAC
rnacentral:lncRNA from 1 species